AUUGAACGCUGGCGGCAUGCCUUACACAUGCAAGUCGAACGGCAGCACGGGAGCAAUCCUGGUGGCGAGUGGCGAACGGGUGAGUAAUAUAUCGGAACGUGCCCAGUCGUGGGGAUAACGUAGCGAAAGCUACGCUAAUACCGCAUACGAUCUAUGGAUGAAAGCGGGGGAUCGCAAGACCUCGCGCGAUUGGAGCGGCCGAUAUCAGAUUAGGUAGUUGGUGAGGUAAAGGCUCACCAAGCCGACGAUCUGUAGCUGGUCUGAGAGGACGACCAGCCACGCUGGGACUGAGACACGGCCCAGACUCCUACGGAGGCAGCAGUGGGGAAUUUUGGACAAUGGCGCAAGCCUGAUCCAGCAAUGCCGCGUGCAGGAUGAAGGCCUCGGUU
rnacentral:rRNA from 1 species